CACGAUGAGACCCCGUCGGAUCCCAGCGAUCGAGACGCACGAUGGGCCGAAAAGAACAACCUGCAGCGGGGGAUCCAGAGUCCCGCUGCUCUCCAUGGGCACCGCUGCUCCACUCUCGCUGGACUCUCGAGAACGCAGAAGACAAGUGACAAGGCAGACACGGGCAAAGUGACGGACUCCCUACCAAAGCGUUGACCCGUCAGAAGGACAAGUUGUACCUGGCCUAACUGGUAGCAGUCUUCUUAUCAAAGGGAGUCAUCAAAGGAAAGCGUCUCUGCACUUAAAACUCUGCAUCCUUAGGACUGAAU
ensembl:lncRNA